UUAGAAAUACGUGGAGGAGAAAUGGAGCAUUCCCCAGACGAGCGAGACAUGCGAGCAGAUACAGGAACUGCACAUGUACAAGAUGGAGGAGACAUCGCGGCUCGCCCGGACAACGUACACGACCCACUGCCCGUAGCAACCGACGAACAGAUAGGUGGAGGACAGAUGGAGCCAAUAUUUGCCGUCCCGAAUUUGAACGGUAACAU